CAGCAGCCGCGGUAAUACGGAGGGAGCUAGCGUUAUUCGGAAUUACUGGGCGUAAAGCGCACGUAGGCGGCUUUGUAAGUAAGAGGUGAAAGCCCGGAGCUCAACUCCGGAACUGCCUUUUAGACUGCAUCGCUUGAAUCCAGGAGAGGUGAGUGGAAUUCCGAGUGUAGAGGUGAAAUUCGUAGAUAUUCGGAAGAACACCAGUGGCGAAGGCGGCUCACUGGACUGGUAUUGACGCUGAGGUGCGAAAGCGUGGGGAGCAAACAGGAUUAGAUACCCCCGUAGUCCCUGUCUCUUAUAC
rnacentral:rRNA from 1 species